rnacentral:rRNA from 1 species
AAACGUAGGGGGCGAGCGUUGCCCGGAAUUACUGGGCGUAAAGCGCGUGUAGGCGGGUUUAUAAGUCGGGUGUGAAAACUCUGGGCUCAACCCAGAGACUGCAUCCGAAACUGUAGACCUUGAGGGCGGGAGAGGAAAGUGGAAUUCCUAGUGUAGCGGUGAAAUGCGUAGAUAUUAGGAGGAACACCAGUGGCGAAGGCGGCUUUCUGGCCCGAACCUGACGCUGAGACGCGAAAGCGUGGGGAGCAAACAGGAUUAGAUACCCUGGUAGUCCACGCUGUAAACGAUGGGCACUAGGUGUAGGAGGUAUCGACCCCUUCUGUGCCGCAGCUAACGCAUUAAGUGCCCCGCCUGGGGAGUACGGCCGCAAGGUUGAA